rnacentral:rRNA from 1 species
UACGUAGGGGGCAAGCGUUGUCCGGAAUCAUUGGGCGUAAAGCGCGCGUAGGCGGCCCGGUAAGUCCGUUGUGAAAGUCAAAGGCUCAACCUUUGAACGCCGAUGGAUACUGCCGGGCUAGAGUCCGGAAGAGGCGAGUGGAAUUCCUGGUGUAGCGGUGAAAUGCGCAGAUAUCAGGAGGAACACCGAUUGCGAAGGCAGCUCGCUGGGACGUAACUGACGCUGAGACGCGAAAGCGUGGGGAGCAAACAGG